GACCAGUUAAACGGUCAUUUUUCCCGCCACCUACCUCUCCAAAUUUUAAAUUUUCAAAUUAAUAGGUGUCAUUUUUUCAAAAAUAACUGUCUUAAUAUCAUAAAUAUAAUUAUUUAAUUAAACCAAUUCAAUCUAUCCGAGUAAUUUAAUUAACUCCCACUAACUCCCAACCACAACUGUCUAAAUCACACAAUUUACAAAUCUCUCUGAUCACAUCUCUCAAACUCAAGCACCCUCCCUCUGGAAACUGCCGCCGCCGCCGCCUCCUCCGGCCAACGACGCCUCUCGCCCCCUCUUAAACUUUCUCCUUCCCUCUCUUACUCUCUUCUCGCGUUUUCCACCUAACACGCUCACCGGCGUUUUCCAUUUCACGCUCACCGGCGUUUCUUCAACUGUGGCCCAGAAAUCGCUGGACUCCAUUCUCCCGCGGCUCAAGGUACGAUGGAAAAUGACCGGUGCUAGAGUGAAAUCCUGAAGUCACGAUCAGGAACUGUGAUCUCACGGCGAACCAGAUCUCACGGCGGCGAACCAGAUCUAACGGCGGACCAGAUCUGGAGCAACUCGCGGCGGAUCUCACGGCGGCUCCUUCGGACGUGAACUGCCAUUGGCGGACCAGAUCUCCCCCCGGUACUCUCUCUCGUCGCCGCUGCACAGCCACAGCCGCCGCUGCACAUGCAGCGACGGUGGCCGUCGCCGCCCCCUCCUACACCAACGUGCUCCUGCUCGGCCUCAAUCCUAAAUCCGUUGAUGGUCGCUCUUGUCCUCUCAAUGAUGAAGCCAUCUCAAACAUCUUUUGGCGCUCUUCAGGUGGCAUCUUAUUCAUCAUAUCAGUUGCCAUCUUGAGCAUGUCUGGUGUCACAUUUGGUGGAACUGACCCAGGGAAAAUAUAUAAAUUAAGAAAUAUAUUUUAGAAAUGAUGAUACUACUACUACAAAUGUUGUGCAUAGGGAAGUUUUUCAAAAUGUAUGACAAUAUGUGUGCUAUUGUUUUGCAUUUAAUUAUAAUUAAAUUUAAUUUAUAUGAA